GUGGGGAAUAUUGGACAAUGGGCGAAAGCCUGAUCCAGCCAUGCCGCGUGUGUGAAGAAGGUCUUCGGAUUGUAAAGCACUUUAAGUUGGGAGGAAGGGCAGUAAGUUAAUACCUUGCUGUUUUGACGUUACCGACAGAAUAAGCACCGGCUAACUUCGUGCCAGCAGCCGCGGUAAUACGAAGGGUGCAAGCGUUAAUCGGAAUUACUGGGCGUAAAGCGCGCGUAGGUGGUUUUGUAAGUUGGAGGUGAAAUCCCCGGGCUCAACCUGGGAACUGCCUCCAAAACUGCAUGACUAGAGUACGGUAGAGAGUAGUGGAAUUUCCUGUGUAGCGGUGAAAUGCGUAGAUAGAGGAAGGAACAACAGUGGCGAAGGCGACUACCUGGACUGAUACUGACACUGAGGUGCGAAAGCGUGGGGAGCAAACAGGAUUAGAUACCCUUGUAGUCC
rnacentral:rRNA from 1 species